UACUCUGAGUACUGAUCCACAGAGUGGUAGCUAAGUGGUAGCCCUUAUCCACAUGGCUACUGGCUUCUUUCCUUUGUUAAUUCUGUGCCUAUACACUGUGCUCAGUGCUAAGAAUUGGAGAUAAGGGUUGAAUAAGAGAGAUGCAGUUCUAGCUCUGUGAAGCUUUCAGUCUAUCUAAAGUAGCCAUUAUGCAGAGAAUUAUAUGCAAGUGUGAACUGUGCUGUUAAAGUUUAGAGUGAGAAUGUUUAUUCUGUCCAUGGUUCUUCCAGGGAAACUGUGAGCUUUCAAGGUAGCUAUGACCUUUUAGUGUCCAAAUAUGGCUGAACGGUGGUAAAACUGCUUGAGGAACAUGUUAUAGAUGGAAUCUGAUCAAAUAAAGAACCACUGCCCUAGCCAACUUUUGGAUCCCCAAGUUAUCUAGGAGAACUGUCCAGACCUUUGGUGUCCUUUGUAAUAGCCACUAGCCAUAUUUUGCAAUUUAAAUAUAAGUUAGUUAAAAUUUAGUAUCUUGUUUGCAGAAGCUACAUCUGAACUGCUCAUGGCUACCAUCAUUGCAGGAAGUUUUGUUGUGAAGUGUGGUCUGAGUGUAACUUUUUGUUUACCUUUCUGCCAUUUGGAUUUCUUCUGACAGGGGAAUAGAGGAGGAAAACAGAUCCUCCUUUUUUGCUAUUUAUAACCAUUUGGGUCUAUUUAGAAGUUUUAGAGGGCUGGGG
rnacentral:lncRNA from 1 species